CACUGUUCUUCCAGUCUGUUCCAUCCUUACAGCGGACCAGUGGCUGCUGGUUCCACCUGGUCUAAACAGGGUUAAAUAGAUGAUUAUACUUCCAGUGGUGCGUGUUUAAUAUGAGAAGAGUUUUUCCUCUCAGCAUCUCAGGGUGAGAGAACAGCACUGCCUUGUGUUGUAGAGCAUAAUGCCCCCAUGUUCCUAUAAAUCAUGUGAUAAAAUGGAUAAAACAAAGCCUGAUUUGGUUGUUUCAGCUUCUACGUUGUUGAGGUGACCUUGAGGAAGUCACCUUUAUCCCUGACAGCACCAGACUACUACAUGUGCAGAGCCACUGACUGUACAGCAGGAAUAAUUCUGUUUUCUGAUGUAUUUUCUCUCAGUAUCAGCGCUAUAAGUCUCCAGCAUAAAUCUGUCUCUCCAAGACAAGAAGCAUUAGUAGUUUAGUCAGACGUGCUGAGGUCAAAGAAAUGACCAUAGCAUCAGCUUUUAAUCACGUCAGCGAUUAACACUUAAGGAGGAGGCUGGGAUGGAGGAGAACAGAUGAGAGCUGAAGGGAGAAGGUUCAGGCUUUAGCUGCGACCUCUCCACCUGUGUGAAUACGAUGAAGUUACGCUGAUGAUGGAGCACCAACACUUGCAAAGAAAUGUAUUUUUGUGAGUUAGACAAAUUUUUUAAAUUUUCCACACCACCAAACCUUUUAUCCAGAAGAUCCAAAGAAAAUUUACAAAAGGAACUAAACUUAUUAGUUUUUUGUGUGGUAAAGAAGCAAAGUUCUCAAUUAUUCAGUUACAAAUAAUAAGGAGUUUAUGAAACUCUGACUAUCAGCCAGGUCGAUUAUCCAAUCUGGUAUUUUUUUUGAUGAUGCAGUUUUCCCAAUAUUGAUAUGGGUAUUUUUAAAAUCAUUUUACUGAUUUAAAAAAAAUAAGUUUUUACUCCGCCAAGGAACAGCGGAGUUAUGCGACGAUUGGCGUACGUCUGUCUGUCUGUCUGUCUGUCUGUCUGUCUGUCUGUCUGUCUGUCUGUCUGUUAGCAACAUUACUCAAAAACGAAAUAACAGAUUUGGAUGAAAUUUUCAGUGAAGGUCAGAAAUGACACAAGGACCAAGUGAUUAGAUUUUGGCAGCAAUGCAGCUUAUAGUCUGAAUCCACGGAUUUGUUUAAGAUUUCUGUAUCAUUGCAAGAUAGACAGCGUCACUGUAACUAUGACAACAAGUGAACACUUGUCAGCUGCCUGCUGAUGAUCACAUGAUUGUGAUUCUAUGAUAAAUCCACCACUGUGGACUUAUCAGGACUUAUCCAUCUGAAAUGAUACAAGAAACAAUUGAUUAAAUUGUGGGGGUAUUUCUGAGUCCCAUUAAUUCCUGCCGCCUGCUACAUAUUUAGGUCACGUGAUUCGGUAUCUGUACAUAAUGUACACAUGCAUAACACGCCUGUGCUCAGCGCAAGGUCAUUUUGUUUGUGGGUACAUCUAUAUGUGACCGGCUGAUUAGCCAUCAUGCCAUACAGCUGUGGGGGAACUAAUGAUUGGUUUGGCCGUUGCAGCAGGGGGUUCGAAUUGAUUGACGGACAUAGCGCCAGUAUACUCCUGAACACUCCCGGACAGACCAGUCUUCUGUGGCUGCAGUGCCGAGUCCGCCGACAAUGUCUCGGUUUAUCGACGGCGUCAUGCGCGUGUCGGGUCGGACAGCCGAGAUAUUGAGAGAUUCAACACUGUGAACCCUCCUGAGCUGGGAUUCCCCUUGCUGCGCGUGGGGCUUAGCAUGGUCGGGUUUUUUUUGGAUCGGAUUUGGAAAUCUUGAGAAGAGCCAAGGAUCAAUUUCCAGUACUGGAUGGCAAGCAUCAUACCAAAGAGUCGAACAAACUGGUAGCUUGUAACCCAACUGGUUACAAACACACACCUGUGAACACUGAACUUUGAACCAUUGACACUGAAAGAUUGAAAGACUGAAACAAACAAAAAAAAAACAAACACUAAAGACAAAAAGGACUUUUUAUUUCAUUUUGUUUAUCUUUCAUUCUCUUUUUGAAAGCUCUUUUUUUUUUUUUUAAUACUGUGCACAGACCCCUUCACAAUUUAAACUUUGCAAUUAAAUGCAAAUUGUCUUUUAAUACGGUGUCAUCUCCCUUGUUUUCGCACACCCUGGCCUCCUGCGAAUUUAAAGUCUUCUGAUCUGGCCUAUCCUCUUUUCUACUGUAGUACUUUGGUUAAAGGUAACUGUACAAAGACAGUACAGAAGCACUUUAAGUGUUACAGUGUGCUAGCCACUUCUCUGUCAUAGUCCCUUUGUGAUCUUAAGCAAUAUCCAGCCCACUGCAUUAUCUCCUUGGUUAUACAUCAGUAAUAGACAAACAGUGGGUAGAAAUCUCUUUUAAUGACACAUUUGAAAAACAUACAUAAAGACAUUCCAAUUUAGUUUAGCAAAUACAUGAUGAAUAUCAGUUAUCAGUCUCCUUGAUUACUAAUAAUUGAUAUUGGCCAUGAAAAACUAUAUUGAUGGACCCUAAUCUCUGCCAUUUCUCUAGAAACCCCAAAGGAGCUGCUAUAAAAUAACACAAAUCAAAUAAAAUCCUUUUAGAAUAACCAUAGUUUUAACAGAGUCACGCAGCAGAGAGUAGAAGAUUUAAAACCCACCUGUCUGACAGGUAGAGAGGGACUAUUCUACAUCAUUACCUGUCUGUGUAGUUUCAGGACUUUCAGCCUCACAUGGAUUCUAACUGAUCACUAACAGAGGUCAGCUCAGGUCACAGCGAACAUGAACUCUUCUAAAAACAUCCACUGUGAUAACACUCCUCAUUUCCCACUACGUGCUGCUUCCCAUUUCAAUUUCAAAUGAACCAGCUGCUGAAUUCUGAAAUUGGGGUGUUGAGUCCCUUUAAUGUUUUGUUAAUGAGGCAUCACAGCAGAUGAAGUAUUGGGGGCUGCAGUGGGUCAACACACUGCUGGUCUGGAAGCAGCCAUAAAGCUCUGAAUGAUACAGGAAGCAAACAGCAUCCAAAGCCGGAGUGUCUCCCCCCCCUCCUCCUGCCUCCUUGUAAUAUCUUCACUAAAAAUAGAGCAGCUAGA